rnacentral:rRNA from 1 species
UACGAAGGGGGCUAGCGUUGCUCGGAAUCACUGGGCGUAAAGGGCGCGUAGGCGGGUGCUCAAGUCCGUGGUGAAAUCCUCCGGCUCAACCGGAGAACUGCCUCGGAUACUGGGUGCCUCGAGGGUGGUAGGGGUAUGCGGAACUAUCGGUGGAGCGGUGAAAUGCGUUGAUAUCGAUAGGAACUCCGGUGGCGAAGGCGGCAUACUGGACCACCUCUGACGCUGAGGCGCGAAAGCCAGGGGAGCAAACGGGG